rnacentral:rRNA from 1 species
CUACGGGGGGCACCAGUGGGGAAUAUUGCACAAUGGAGGAAACUCUGAUGCAGCAACGCCGCGUGGAGGAUGACACAUUUCGGUGCGUAAACUCCUUUUAUUAGGGAAGAUAAUGACGGUACCUAAUGAAUAAGCACCGGCUAACUCCGUGCCAGCAGCCGCGGUAAUACGGAGGGUGCAAGCGUUACUCGGAAUCACUGGGCGUAAAGCGCGCGCAGGCGGCCUUUUAAGUUGGAUGUGAAAGCCUACGGCUCAACCGUAGAACUGCAUCCAAAACUAUUGGGCUAGAGUGUGGGAGAGGAAGAUGGAAUUAGUUGUGUAGGGGUAAAAUCCGUAGAGAUAACUAGGAAUACCAAAAGCGAAGGCAAUCUUCUGGAACACUACUGACGCUGAGGCGCGAAAGCGUGGGGAGCAAACAGGAUUAGAUACCCGUGUAGUC